AGUCGAGCGGUAACAGGGGGUGCUUGCACCCCGCUGACGAGCGGGGAMRGGKGAGUAAUGCAUAGGAAACUGCCCAGUAGUGGGGGAUAGCCCGGGGAAACCCGGAUUAAUACCGCGYACGCCCUUCGGGGGAAAGCRGGGGAUCUUCRGACCUUGCGCUAUUGGAUGUGCCUAUGUCRGAUUAGCUASUUGGUGGGGUAAAGGCCUACCAAGGCGACKAUCCGUAKCUGGUCUG
rnacentral:rRNA from 1 species